ensembl:lncRNA
GCUGAGGCCACACAGUGAGGAAGAGUCAAGCUUCACUACAGAGGCUUGAACAGAAGUCAGGCUGGUGCCUGUAGAGCACUGGGCACUGUGUGGAAAUCUCACCUCCUUUCAACAGUUUUCUUCUCUAGUCAUCGUGUCUGUGUUCCUACCUGUAACCUCUUCCUGUGCCUACUUGGGUUUGGUUCUGGAGCCAUUGGCCUUGCCCAAGAUGUGUUCUUGGCUGCUCCUGUCCCUGUCAGGCCCUCUCUGUUUUUACCCUGUUCUUAAGAGUAUGUGGCUCACAUGGAAACACACAGUAUCCUAAUAGUUUGUUUUUUGUUGCUGUGAGAAAACACUGAUGAAAAGCAGCUUGAGGAGGAAAAUGGUUUAUUCCGUGAUGGGGAAAUCCUUGUGUGUAUAUGUUUAUCUUAUUGGUUGAUAAAUAAAGCAUUGUUGGCCAAUAGGGGAGCAAGUUAGGUGGGACUAGGAGUUGAGGAGGAUUCUGGGAAAUGUAGUAGAGACAGCAGCCACCACGUGAUCACCAGGAAGACAGGAUAUAUUCCACCAGCGUGCUCAAUAAGAUAAGUUUAUAAAAUAUAUAGAUUAAUAGUUAUGGGUGAUACUUAAGACAGAGUUAGCAAAUAAAUCUUUGUCAUUGGCCAGAGGCACUGUACCUAAUAUAAGACUCAGUGUGUUAUUCUGGACGCCCACGUGGCGGCGGGGCUCGGGUGACGUAGCAGAAAGAUUUAUCAUUACCAAAUGGUGUCAGGACAUGGUUUUAUGAACUUCCACAUAAAAACUUCACAAAAACUUAAAAAGGGAAUUUAGAAGCAAAGGAACAGAGACAAGCACUACUUCUUGGUAGUGGUAUUUUCUCGGGUAGUCUCUGUUUUGCUAGAGACAAGCAGAUACUCAAGUGGCUCCUUUAAGAGAGGCUUCCUGACUCAGCAUAAUUGGAAAAAAAAGAAAACAAAAACAAAAAACCACAGGGCUCUUGCUAACAAUUGAAUGGUAUGUAUGAGCAGCUGGCAGUGGCAGCAACCACAUCUCCAAGCCGAAAGCGUGUUCCUUGAUGACAGCAUAGACCAAGGCAGUGAGCAUAGCUCUCAGUGCUGGCGGUAAACAUACCUUCGCCAUCUUGGAAAGACAUCCACUAAAGCAGCCACUGCUUUAAUUUUAGCAAUGCUGUUUAGCAGAUAAAAGAUCGUGUAGCCAGAAAAAGGUAAAGAUUUACAGUAAAGACAGAUUCAGAUGAAGAAAAACUCCUAAAGGUUUACAGUGUAUUUAAAAAUAUAUGUAGGCUUGUGAGAGAAAAGAACAGGAUAAAGUAAUUGAGAGAGAGAGAGAGAGAGAGAGAGAAGAGAGAGAGAGAGAGAAAGAGAAGCCAGUGGUGGUGGCACACGCCAGUAGGAUUUGCUGAAGGAAGCAGAGGCAGGCGGAUUUCCACGGAGAAACCUUGUCUCAGGGGGGGGAAAAAAAGGAAGUAAAAGAAAUAGAAUAUUAAAAAGCCAGGUAAAGAUGGAAAAUACUCACAGAGUCUGGAUACUAUAUGUUAUACUGUUGUCUUUAAAUUGUUUGAUUGCCGAGGAAAGAGCUACAGCUGAUAAAACACAUUUGAUUAUAAGUGCUACUCAAUUAGUCCAACUUAUAUAUUUUUAAAAUGCUUUGACUUCUAAAUUUAAAUAUAAGGACAGGUUACUUGGGAGAAGAAUUUCUACUUACGUUUCCACAUAAAAUGGAAAGCUGUGGAUUCCUUCCAGACUAAUUUGGUUUGAUCAAGCAAGACCCCCUGAAGCAGUGGCCCAACCGAUCCUACAUCCAAAACAGCUGAGACGAUGCAGCCUUGCAGACUACAAAAACAAGGAACUGGCCUGAUUUCUGUGUUUUAUCAUGAUCCCCCAUGGUGUGGACAUCACCCCCAACCAGCAGGAAGCAGUUUGGAACGAACGAUGCCCAAGUUCCCAAAUAUUGUUUAUAAAUGUUUGUUUUCAUUUAAAUAGGGUUGGUUAUAAAUGGUAAUGAUCACAGUCAAUCUCUUUUUAAAGGAAAAAAGGGGAAUAGAAUAUAGAAAUGAAUACAUUGGUAUGGAUUUUCAUUUAUUGAUACAAAUUUAAGGUUAAUUUUGUUAUAUGUAAAUUUCUCCUCUUGUUUGGUAUUGUGUUUAUACAGAUCUUUUAAAAUGUAAUGUAUAAUUAAAUGCAAAUUAUAUAGUCACCUAUAAUAGUCAGAACUUAUAAUUAGGUUAGUUAGGUUUUCUAGCUAUAGAGAGAUGUGUUUGAGAUGGAUAGACAAAGACCUACAGAAUAUAUGGCAUUUAAAUGGUUUAGGGUUUUUCAUGGCAGUGAGACACAACUGCUCCUGGCACACCAAUUACAUCUGAGAGGAAGAUGGGCAUUGAAGAAACUCAUUAUGGAGUUUGCUUUCAAUGUGGCAAGAUUAGCCAUUUGGGCAAGAAACUGCUCUUGUCUGGACUGUUUGAUAAACUGGACAUGCAGGACCCACAGGAAAGUGACUGCUGAACUUAGAAAACAAGAUGGAAAGUUGUGAAGAGUCCCUGCUUCAAGGAAGCAUCUGCCAGACAUUCUGCAGGACACAGAGGAAAUUGGCUGACAAACUGCCAAUACAGGUGGACAGUUUAAAAUUUCCUGCUUCACUGAGAAGUCUGCCAGACAUACUGUGGCCUAUAGACUGAAGACAGGAUAAAUUCCAUCAGUGUGCCCCAACGUUACAAAGGAACUUCGGGUCACUGUCCAGGCAGCGAGAUAUCUCUGUCAGUUCUAGAGUUUAUUUAUUAUCCUUCUGUGGUCUUUGUUGGAGUUGAAGACAGAUAGUUAUGGUUAUAGUUUUCUUUAGUUAUUAUAAAAGAUAAGCUACAUAUAAGACUUUAGACUCACAAAGAUGGGAUAGAUGAUAGAAUAUUUUCUUUAAAUCUUGCUAAAUGUUAAUGGACUAAAUAUUGUAACUAUAGUUCUUACUUGAUAACUGUUUUGUUAUAUAUUUUACUAUGUUAAUGUUAACACCCUUCUUUUUACUUAGACAGAAAAGAGAAAAUUAUGGGGGAGGUCCUUGUGUGUAUAUGUUUGUCUUAUUGGUUGAUAAAUAAAGCACUGUUGGCCAAUAGGAGAGCAAGUUAGGUGGGACUAGGAGUUGAGGAGGAUUCUGGGAAAUGUAGUAGAGACAGCAGCCACCAUGUGAUCACCAGGAAGACAGGAUAUAUUCCACCAGUGUGCUCAAUAAAAUAAGUUUAUAAAAUAUAUAGAUUAAUAGUUAUGGGUGAUACUUAAGACAGAGCUAGCAAAUAGGAAAUCUUAGUCAUUGGCCAGUAGCAUUGUACCUAAUACAAGACUCUGUGUGUUAUUUUGGACACCCACAUGGCGGCAGGGCUUGGGCAGCUUGGCAGAAAGAUUUAUCAUUACAAUUCCGUCUUACAGCAUACUGUCCAUCAUCCAGGGAAGCUAAGGCAAACCCAGAGGCAAGAACAGAAGCAGAGGCCAUGGAGGAUAAUGCUCACUGGCUGCCUCAGCUUGUUCACUUAUACAAGCCAGGGCCACCUGCCAGGGGUCACACUAUCCACAUCAAUCAUUAAUCAAGAAAAUGCCCCCCUCAGACUUGCUCACUGGCCAAUCUGAUGGAGGCAACCCCUCAAGGAAGGGGUCCACUUUCCCAGGCAUCAGGUUGAAAAAACCAACCAGCACACACAGGCUAUCAAAUGCAUGGCUAAUUCUACAUGAGAAGUCCACCAACUAUAUGUUAAGAGUUGUCUUUGUCAUGGUCUGUGGUUUAGAGCACUUAAUUGCUCUUGCAGAGGGCCCAAGUUCGAGUCCCAGCACCCACAUGGUGGCUCAAAACUGUCUGCAACUCCAGUUCCAAGGGAUCCAGUGCCCUCCCCUGACCUCUGUGAGCAGCAGGCCAGCAUGGGACAUUUAGGAGAUUACUGAAGAUUGAACCCAGAGACCCAGCAGGGAUGAAGACUUUCCCUCUUCCUCCAGUGAACUUCAGGCCCAGAGCACUUAUGUAAGGACUCUACUUGACUUGGGAGGGACCCUGCACCCACCCUCAAGGGACCUUCUCUUAGAACCUCUCCUCUGUGAGUACUCCUUCCAGAGCGGCUCUAAUGACCUCAGAGAGGGGACUACAGGUGUCCUAUUACUACAGAUGGAGAGCCUAAGGCCCUGAGUCCAUCUUACUUUCUGUCACUGUGAUAAACCCCAUGACCAAAAGCAACUUGGGGGAAGAAAGGGUUUAUUUGACUUACAUUAUCACAGUCUAUCAUGGAAGGAAGCCAGGGCAGGAACUCAAGGCAGGAUCCUAAAGGCAGGAGCUGAUGCAGAGACCAUGGAGGAGUGUUGCUUACUGGCUUGCUCCCCAUUGCUUGCUCAACCUGUUUUCUUAUACAACCCAGGACAACCUGCCUGGGGUUGGCACCGCCCACAGUGGGCUGGGCCUCCCACAUCAAUUCUCAAUCCAGAAAAUGUUGCCUAUAGGCCAAUCUGAUGGAGGCAAUUCCUGGUUGACAUUCCCUCAUCCCAGAUGGCUCUAGCUUGUGUCAAGUUGAAGACAAAACAAAACUAAGUUGUAGAGCUGUGAAUGACACUUCUGGACUCCAGUGCUUUCUCCCUUCCUCCCUGCUGCCGCCAGACCCACGUGUGUGCAGCUGUGGACACCUGGAAACACUGUCAUCCCAGAGACUGCUCUUGAUGCCAGGAGGGCAGCAAACCCACAGGGCACAGCCUCCCAAGGGGGUUUGCCCUUUAAAAGCAGCUCACUUGGGGCUGGCUGUUAGCUGAGAGGGCCAGGAAAGUUGUUGCAUCACUGUUAGGAUACUGGAAGGUCAUGAUAUACACCUGUGACCUUCUUAAGCCCUGCCUGAGUUCAUUGCCUGUGAACAUGUCCCACCCACUUUCCUCAUCCAACCCAGGCUCCGGGCCACACGUGUGCCCCAUUUGCCUCGUCAUAUAUCUGCAAGGCCAGUUCAGGAUAGGGCCACAGCCUUUGCCCACCGCUGAGCCCUGCUGGGAUAAAUCUUUCCGCCAAAAGCUGCCUGAGACCCACCGCCAUGUGUGAGCUUUACGCCCGAGUUAGGCCCAAAUGAAUACACAGAAACUUGUAUUAGGUACAAUGCUGCUUAGCCAAUGACUAGGAUUCUCAUCUGUUAGCUCAGUCUCAAUUAUCAUACAUCUAUAUAUUUUAUAAGACUUACCUUAUCGGACGCCUUAUUGGCGUCCCUCCUUGCCGGUGGCUCACAUCCUGCCGCUGGAGGGGGCAAACGGGAAAAAGGGCCCUUCCUGUUUCUCCUUCGCUUAAAUAUGAGUAUCCUUGCUAUGUCACUUCCUGCCUGGAUCGGCACUUCUCUACUACAUUUCCCAGAAUCCUCUUUGACUCCUAGUCCUGCCUAACUUGCCAUUUCAUUGGCCAAACAGUAUUUUAUUUAACAAUCAAUAAGAUAAACAUACACAGUACAUUCCCCAUCAGAGCCCUAUUGAAUUAAGACCACUGCCCGACCCUCCCUGCUCACCCAGCCUCCGUUUACCCUUCAUUUCUCUGCAAAGUCCCAGCUGCACUUCCCAGAUGAGGCUUUAACCCCAGUUUGAUGAGACUGACACAUACACCUGCCCUCCAUCUCAUGUCUUCUAGAGCAGCUGAGGCUACAUUGUCAUCACCCAUCCUUCCAGACAGAUGAGGUGGCCUGCUGUGGAGAGCCACAGCCCUAAGAUGGCACUUGGCUGGAUGCCAGGAGCUUAGCUGUAAACAAGCCUUAUUUGGAAGUGCUUGAGGCAUCUGGCGCACUUCCUCCUUCUGUGGCCUAUCCGGGAUUGCCAGAUGGCAUGAGCUGACUGGGCACUGAGCAUCUACUUAAGGGCUUGCGGGGGCUGGGAGAAGAGAGAAGCUGAUGUACAAGGUUCCUGAAUAAACGGCUUGAAGAAGA